UACGUAGGGACCAAGCGUUGUUCGGAUUUACUGGGCGUAAAGGGCGCGUAGGCGGCGUGACAAGUCACUUGUGAAAUCUCCGGGCUUAACUCGGAACGGCCAAGUGAUACUGUCGUGCUAGAGUGCAGAAGGGGCAAUCGGAAUUCUUGGUGUAGCGGUGAAAUGCGUAGAUAUCAAGAGGAACACCUGAGGUGAAGACGGGUUGCUGGGCUGACACUGACGCUGGAGGCGCGAAAGCUAGGGGAGCAAACGGG
rnacentral:rRNA from 1 species